UGUAUUUUCUGUUUUUCAAUCGCGGAUCAUAGCACAUUUACUAGAAAGGUAGCCAACUGUGUAACUACAAAAUAGAGUUAAAACAAAGUAAUUUUGCGUGGAACGCGAAAAAGAUCAAUCGAAAGCUGUUUAUUACCCGCGCCUAAAACAGCUUAUAACUACGCCUCGUUCGAUACUACACAGACACAGUCGGUAAGGCAUUUUCUUGUUUAUUAUAUAUAAAAAUUGCAA